UUACCAUUGGUAAUCAUUUUUAUGUGUUCUUGGAAUGUUUACUAUGAUUGAUAUGGCAUCAUGGUUCUUACUAAUACAAGCAGGAUCAUACAAGUUGUUCGUGUAUGUUAACAUUUCAUUUAUCAUAACAGGUAGAGGCCUUGCGAUGGGCCGAUCCCUCGUCCAAGGAGUGCUACCUAAUGUCUAUAGAUCAAGGCCCGCAGGUGCUCAAGACACUGAAGAACGGGACGCCUAAGAUAAACACGAUGUGCCAUAUGGUUUUGCUAAAGAAAGUACUUUGGCGUUAUAAAAAUCAAAACAUCAUCUCUCUGUGGAUGACACUGAUGAUCCCGCUAGAUGGUAACAAAAUACGUGGAAUUCUAGUUGCCUUUACGAACUUGGCAGAUAUAUAUUUACGUCUUAAGAACUAAAAGAGAUACAUAUAAAAUAUUCUUAUAAAUGUAUACACAUAUAUUAAAGCAAGACUAUGAACGUCUUCGCCUAUACAUAAACACAUGUACGUUAGUAGAUACUGGGACACGCGA